GUUGACCUCGGAUCAGGUAGGGAUACCCGCUGAACUUAAGCAUAUCAAUAAGCGGAGGAAAAGAAACCAACAGGGAUUGCCCUAGUAACGGCGAGUGAAGCGGCAACAGCUCAAAUUUGAA
rnacentral:rRNA from 1 species